AGCAAUAUGAGACUGCAGUUGUCCUGUGUGGAUUUCUGUAUGCUUUGACAAAGCAGUCUUACAGCUCACUGCUGCUGCUUACAUUAACGUAUUUUAUUUCGGGUAAGCUGACAGUUUUAAUGCAAGGCAAAACCUGCCCAUUGUCUUUACUUUGUGUAUCCACUCUUGUGGGUGGUACAAAGAUAAGCACAGGGUUGGGUGCUGGAUGCUGGAUAGUUUCACGUCGUAACUUUGAAAUAUUAUCCAGUCUUAACAGCUUCUGCAGAAACCCAAGACCUUUCUUUGCUGUGGUUUAUUUUAAAUUGAAUCUAAAGAGGUUUAGAAUCUUACUGAAGUUUGCAAGUUAUCACUGAAUACAGAUGUAGACCAAGUCAUUUGAUACAUAUAUUGAAAUCCAUCAUGGAAUAAUCUUUGUUUAGUUCCAGUCUGCUGUGUUAUUUUUUUCUGAAAGCAAUCUUCAGUCUCUUAAAGUGCAGUUUUUAUGAUGCAUACAAUUGACUUGAGCACUACAGCAGGGAACUAAUACUGCUACUGAACCCAGCUGUUCUUAUUACUAACCACUGCACCGGCUUGUUUGUUUCCUCAGUAUUUUUCUUCUGUUUAUUAAAGUUUCUAAAUGUAUUAAUCUUGAACAAAUCAUGCAAGAAAUUAUCACAUCAAGAGAAGAAUGUGUUCUCCCUGUUUUGUAAGUGUCAAUACUCAGAAGAAAGCUGGCUUCUAAUAACAUUGUUGCUUGUCUCUAUUAUGCAGCGUAUCUUAGAUUUUGUAUUGAUUUGGCAGGUAGCUUUCUACUUUUUAGCGAUUGGAUCAUUACUUUAGCAUUUGUAUUUAUUACUUACCUGUUAGGAAAGCCUGCUGCACUUACAUGUAAGGUUCCUUACAGAAGGUUCUAAUUUGGGAAUUAUGCAGAACCAUGAAAAAGAUCUGAAAGAAUUACCUCUGGGGUUUGUGCAUUGAGUCCUGGAUUGGGCUUCUUUGGAGACGAGUGUCUGAAAGAACAAAUGCAAAUCAAGUGCGACACAAUGGGCAGUGUGAUAACCCUGUGCUGCUGGAGUAGCUGCUCGUAGCUGGAGAUCACACUGUCUUUAAGCAAUCUUCUGACAAUAUUUGCAACUGAGGAUGAAACUAUGUGUUUCAGGUUGUAAUUUCCACUGUGCCACAUAGCACUUGGUAUGAAGUGGUGACUUCUGCUUUACUAUAUGGUAAAUACAAAUUCCAUGUUUCUAACAGAGUAAUGUUACCAUUGUUGGUAUGUUUCAAGGUCACUUAGCACAAUAAUGUCUCAUUAUUUCAUUGUGCUUUUCACAUACUUGAUAUUACUGUACUGUUGGUGACAGGCGGCUCCUGUGUGACCUGGUGGAUGUGGAAGGAGAGUUGUGCAGCAAUUAAAGCCACUUUCAUCAGGUCGAGCAGAGACUCUGGGCUGCAAGGGAAGAACUGGGCAAUGGCUGUUCCUUAGAGCAUCUGCUGUUCGGUGCACCUGAGGAGUGAGAAGAUGGUGGUAAGCAGGGUGGUUGUGAGGCAGAGUGGAGAUUAGGGAAGCUCUCUGCAGCCUGAACACUUCAGAGAGUCUUUGGCCCACUGCCGGGCAGACCACCCACAAUCCAGCUGCAGCCAUUCCUAAUUUAUUCAACUCCUAAAUAACCUAUGUGUGUAACCUAAGACAGUUGAGAUGUUCCAGUGACAACCAGCCAGAAGAGUUAUGAUUGUUGAAGCAAGGAAAUAACCUGGUAAAAAGUGAAGAUCCUGAGUGGUGUUCAGGGAAAAAAAACAAUAUAAAAACUGCUUUUUCAUUAUUACUAUUUUCAGUCUGAAAAUAUUCUUUCCACUGCUGUAUCCAGCCGAAAUGAGAGCUAAGCCUUACGCUUCCUGGCAGGAAGGAGGGGAUGGAUUAUCAGCAUUAAGCAGGUGAUGAGCCCUGGACCACACAGAGCACACUGCAAACAAGGCUGUGUUUCUCCCAGUCUGAUUUGGCAGCUCAGCUGGGUUGAGAAAAGCUUGCAAACUCUGGCAAGGGUAUCCUAAGGUGUAAUGACCCAGACAUAAAGGCUUUUUUGUUGUUUUUGUCUGUGCUGAUUUGUACUUACACCAGUGGGAUAAAAGAAUAAAGAACUUGGAAAUGUAAUUUGAGUUUAGUAACUGACUUGCUGGCUUUCAGAGCACUGGUGUGAAAGGGCUGGUGUGUCGCAAAGGCAGCAGGAGCAGUACUACAGGUGGAAACGAAGAAGCGUAUCUCUGAGAUCCAGUCAGAGCAGUUGGAUGAUGCUUCUGAGUGGGAGGGACAAAGCCAGGGCUGCUGCCUGUGAGGUGUGCUCAGGAGGGAACACCAGGGGUACUAAAGAUCAGUUUUAACCUUGAAAUACUAGUUUGAACAAGUCACAGUAAGUAGUUAUGAAUACCAACUGGCUUUAUAAUACAGUGAGUUACUUGAAAUUGGGGAACUUGAGUGUUAACACAGAAUUUUCCAUUAUGAAUAUUACCCAGAGGCAAACCUGUGUGUUGUAGGCGAUAAUAAAUGCACAGCUACGAGUGG
rnacentral:lncRNA from 1 species